UACGGGGGGGGGCAAGCGUUGUUCGGAAUUACUGGGCGUAAAGGGCUCGUAGGUGGCCAACUAAGUCAGACGUGAAAUCCCUCGGCUUAACCGGGGAACUGCGUCUGAUACUGGAAGGCUUGAGGAUGGGAGAGGGAUGUAGAAUUCCAGGUGUAGCGGUGAAAUGCGUAGAUAUCUGGAGGAAUACCGGUGGCGAAGGCGGCAAUCCUGGACCAUUACUGACGCUGAGGCGCGAAAGCUAGGGGAGCAAACGGGG
rnacentral:rRNA from 1 species